AUGGUAGAGGCGCGGCGAAGAUGAGUACCGCGCGGCAACGGCCGGCAGGCCGCCGCGCAGGGAAAGGCGACGCCGCCGAAGCAAAGCGAACCGGCUGCCGCCGCCGCUCUGCUGGGCCUGUGCAGAACAUGCACCGGACUGUCACGCAAGUGGAGAGCUAUCA
rnacentral:ncRNA from 1 species